GAUACCAGCUGGCUGCAACUGUUUAUUAAAAACACAGCACUGUGCAAACACGAAAGUGGACGUAUACGGUGUGACGCCUGCCCGGUGCUGGAAGGUUAAUUGAUGGGGUUAUCCGUAAGGAGAAGCUCUUGAUCGAAGCCCCAGUAAACGGCGGCCGUAACUAUAACGGUCCUAAGGUAGCGAAAUUCCUUGUCGGGUAAGUUCCGACCUGCACGAAUGGCGUAAUGAUGGCCAGGCUGUCUCCACCCGAGACUCAGUGAAAUUGAACUCGCUGUGAAGAUGCAGUGUACCCGCGGCAAGACGGAAAGACCCCGUGAACCUUUACUAUAGCUUGACACUGAACAUUGAGCCUUGAUGUGUAGGAU
rnacentral:rRNA from 1 species